CCUACGGGAGGCAGCAGUGGGGAAUAUUGGACAAUGGGCGCAAGCCUGAUCCAGCAAUGCCGCGUGUGUGAAGAAGGCCUUCGGGUUGUAAAGCACUUUUAUCAGGAACGCGGUACCUGAGGAAUAAGCACCGGCUAACUUCGUGCCAGCAGCCGCGGUAAUACGAAGGGUGCAAGCGUUAAUCGGAAUUACUGGGCGUAAAGGGUGCGUAGGCGGUUGUUUAAGUCUGUCGUGAAAUCCCCGGGCUCAACCUGGGAAUGGCGAUGGAUACUGGACAGCUAGAGUGUGUCAGAGGAUGGUGGAAUUUCCGGUGUAGCGGUGAAAUGCGUAGAGAUCGGAAGGAACAUCAGUGGCGAAGGCGGCCAUCUGGGACAAACUGACGCUGAAGCACGAAAGCGUGGGGAGCAAACAGGAUUAGAUACCCUUGUAGUC
rnacentral:rRNA from 1 species